GACGAACGCUGGCGGCGUGCUUAACACAUGCAAGUCGAACGGAAAGGCCCUGCUUUUGUGGGGUGCUCGAGUGGCGAACGGGUGAGUAACACGUGAGUAACCUGCCCUUGACUUUGGGAUAACUUCAGGAAACUGGGGCUAAUACCGGAUAGGAGCUCCUGCUGCAUGGUGGGGGUUGGAAAGUUUCGGCGGUUGGGGAUGGACUCGCGGCUUAUCAGCUUGUUGGUGGGGUAGUGGCUUACCAAGGCUUUGACGGGUAGCCGGCCUGAGAGGGUGACCGGCCACAUUGGGACUGAGAUACGGCCCAGACUCCUACGGGAGGCAGCAGUGGGGAAUAUUGCACAAUGGGCGGAAGCCUGAUGCAGCAACGCCGCGUGCGGGAUGACGGCCUUCGGGUUGUAAACCGCUUUCGCCUGUGACGAAGCGUGAGUGACGGUAAUGGGUAAAGAAGCACCGGCUAACUACGUGCCAGCAGCCGCGGUGAUACGUAGGGUGCGAGCGUUGUCCGGAUUUAUUGGGCGUAAAGGGCUCGUAGGUGGUUGAUCGCGUCGGAAGUGUAAUCUUGGGGCUUAACCCUGAGCGUGCUUUCGAUACGGGUUGACUUGAGGAAGGUAGGGGAGAAUGGAAUUCCUGGUGGAGCGGUGGAAUGCGCAGAUAUCAGGAGGAACACCAGUGGCGAAGGCGGUUCUCUGGGCCUUUCCUGACGCUGAGGAGCGAAAGCAUGGGGAGCGAACAGGCUUAGAUACCCUGGUAGUCCACGCUGUAAACGGUGGGUACUAGGUGUGGGGUCCAUUCCACGGGUUCCGUGCCGUAGCUAACGCUUUAAGUACCCCGCCUGGGGAGUACGGCCGCAAGGCUAAAACUCAAAGGAAUUGACGGGGCCCCGCACAAGCGGCGGAGCAUGCGGAUUAAUUCGAUGCAACGCGUAGAACCUUACCUGGGUUUGACAUGGAUCGGGAGUGCUCAGAGAUGGGUGUGCCUCUUUUGGGGUCGGUUCACAGGUGGUGCAUGGCUGUCGUCAGCUCGUGUCGUGAGAUGUUGGGUUAAGUCCCGCAACGAGCGCAACCCUUGUUCACUGUUGCCAGCACGUUAUGGUGGGGACUCAGUGGAGACCGCCGGGGUCAACUCGGAGGAAGGUGGGGAUGACGUCAAGUCAUCAUGCCCCUUAUGUCCAGGGCUUCACGCAUGCUACAAUGGCUGGUACAGAGAGUGGCGAGCCUGUGAGGGUGAGCGAAUCUCGGAAAGUCGGUCUCAGUUCGGAUUGGGUCUGCAACUCGACCUCAUGAAGUCGGAGUCGCUAGUAAUCGCAGAUCAGCAACGCUGCGGUGAAUACGUUCCCGGGGC
rnacentral:rRNA from 1 species